UGGGUUGUGGCUCAGUGGUAGAGCACUUGCCUCACAUGCAUGAGGCACUGGGUUCGAUUCUCAGCACCGCAU
rnacentral:tRNA from 2 species